rnacentral:lncRNA from 1 species
UUCAGAGCCUGCAAAGUGUUGUAGUGUAUGCAAAGAGUGGUGUCUCUCACAAAAAUAAAAAUCAGCUGCCUGCAGCUGGUCCAAGUCCGACCACCUCUGUGAUUUAAGGCAGCAGGAGUUUCCUUGCUCAAUCUCUGUCUGAAUGAAAAAAAAAAUCGCCUGUCAUUUUGGUGCCUGUUGGGUAAAAUUCUCCUCACCUGCUCAAAACCCAUCGUACUGCACUCUGCAGGCUCUCAGCAUCCCAGGGCCAUCCUCCCCCAGGCUCAGCCAGAAGGGACCAGUCUUUAGGAGCUCGUUUCGCAGCAGUCCCACCCUGUGGUGCACCAAGACCUGUCUGAGCCCCAGGCACUGUUAAAGGAGGGGGGGACACCGUGCAGGGUGACACAGACAUGGCUUAGUGCAUCUCCUACUGCCCAUUUCUUUGUUAGGAAUGGCAAAGCUUUUGUACUAAUGAAGUGCCACACACCAAACACACCAGGUAACUUGAAAUAUCGCAUGCUACAAAAAUAAUCCAACACUAAAAAAAAAUCUAUUUUCUUCCCUUAUCUUCAUAUUCUGUUUAAUAGCUCUGACUCUCUGAUACUGAUCUGGUUCCCUGCUUUCCUCUCUUCCAUCGCACCCCCGUGUGCUCCUGUGCACACACACACAUACAGGCACGCACUCUGCACCCCAUGGCACUGUCUUGGCCACGUUCCUCUUGUACUCAACCCCCUCGUCCCACCUACAUUUUUAAUCCACGAGACCCCGUUGCUGAGCUGUGGCGAUGUCACAGCAAUCCUUUGUGAGCAGAAGAGGAGCGUGCAGGUGGCUCACACAGCUGGGAAGGAGCCUGGGACGAGGCGGGUGGAAGAGCUCCUCCGGCGCUCCCGUUAUGCCCAGGACAUGUGAGGUCAUUUUCCUCUCCCUCACUCACAAACGAGCUGUCCCAGUUCCCUGGAUUUGGAGAUGUACACAUAGGCAACUUCCAUGUAGCACCAAGAUCAACGAGCUCCUCAGUGCAGUUACACAUUUCAUGGUUCAACCAGCUCCGUACAAGAAGAUUCUCCAAGGACAGGCACUGUGCAGCAGGGCAAAGGAGGUGCUGACCAAGGUCGGUGGCAGGACAGUCUGUCCACAGCGCCAGGCCAGAGGAAGGAAACCCCCUUUGGAGGAACAGCAAUGA